GUGGUUUUUGGCAUGGAGAGGUUGGCAGCAAUGAGAACUCCAUCCAGGUAGAGGUGUGUCGGAGACAAUGAUGCUGACAUCUGUUUCUUCGGAGGAGGACGUCCCUCUGUGUCACACUUAGCAAGAACUUCACUUCUUCAGAAGGUUAAGGACUCAAAGUCUACUUGCGUGUAUGAAGCGGAAGGGGACGGCUCGAGGAACGAAAAACACUUGAAUUCCUCUGACACAAUCUGGAGAACCUGGAAACAUAUGCAGGGAGGAACAAGGGAAGGGAAGAAAAGAAGAAAAUUUUUCUCCUCCACAAACUCAACAGGCGAAAGGUCAGAGGAUGAGGUCGUUGAAACACAACUGCUGCGAGACUGAUGAAAUGAUGGAGGGAAAGGCAUGGAUAUCACUGCAGACUGACUGCAGGGGACCAUAAUGAACAGAAGCCCUUAGUCAGUGGACCACCGAGAAACUUCAGUAGCUCUUCAGGUAUACGCCAUAAAACUGUUGAGUUCAGUUCAUUGUUGUAGUUAAUCUGAACACCUGAAUGAAACCGUUUUACAACUUUCUGUUCUAAAGUUUAAUUUUCCAACUGAAAAAUGAAUAUAUGUUCCGUAAAGACGGUAUGUGCCACAGCACCGUGGAGUUUAGAAGUUUAGAUCAUUGCAGAAACGCAUGGCGGUAGACGCUGAAGUAUAAACCCACCCAACCAAGUCACAUUUUUCAACUCCGAAACCCUUGAAAAGGACAAGCGAACAAUUUAGAUAGAACACUUCCGUGCAACAAUUACAGUUGAGGUUCAUUGCGGAAUUUAAU